rnacentral:lncRNA from 1 species
GACCAUUUUUGUAAUUUUGUCUAACUAUAUAUCUAUAAGCGACAAAGACAAAUAAUAUAUAUAAAAAAUAAAUCAAAAAAGUAAACUAAAUUAAUAGUCAUAAUUGUUUAUUAUAUCUAACAACAAGAGUAUAUCCUUUUGGUUUCAUUCAAACUUUCUUAUGUUAUAUAUCAAAGACAUUAAAUCCAUAAAUAUGUAUAUUAUUUCUAGAUUCGCGUCAAUCUAUUUAUUCAAACAUAUAUUAUUCAGUAUGAUUUUAUUAUAAUAAAUUAAAUUAAUAGUUACAUUUGUUUAUUAUACUUAGGAGCAAGACAACUCAUGUCAAACAUAAUUGCUACAAAAGUAAUGCUAGCCUUUUUUUU